rnacentral:siRNA from 1 species
CAGACUGUUCACAGAUUCUACCUA